UGAGGGAAAGUUGCAAAGAACUUUGAAGAGAGAGUUCAAGAGUACGUGAAACUGCUCAGAGGCAAACGGGUGGGCCCUCGAAAUCCCACUGCGGAGAGAUUCAGUCCUCUGGAGGGGCGGAGGUCGGACCCUUCGAGGCGGACACCGCUUCACGCUGACGCACUUUUCUCCGCACCGAGGACGCCGCAACGGAUCGGGUAGCAGCGAGAGUCGGCCUGAGGCGUACCCUGGCAGGUGGCCCUUUCGUACGAUUGUACGAGCGGGUUAUUCACGGGUUCGUCCGUGGCACGACACCCGAUCGAGGUUAACGUUCCCCUUACGGGGAACCGAUCGUCUCCGUCUUUAGGACGCGGUGCAUCGGGCCAGUGAGCGCCCGCGACUUCGAACCACUCUAGUAGUGGCCGUCGCGCGGGUUUGCCGCCGUUGGGUCCGAGCAAGACCGCGUGGAGACGUGCGGUCAGCGGCGAGUAGGUCGGUCACCCACCCGACCCGUCUUGAAACACGGACCAAGGAGUCUAACAUGUGCGCGAGUCGCAGGGUCUUGACAAGGCCUUUGGGCGCAAUGAAAGUGAAGGUCUUCCACGGAGGCCGAGUUGGGACACCCCUAAUUAUUUUAGGGGUAGCACCAACGACCCGUCCGAACAGGUCCGCCUGUUGGGCGGAGUCCGAGCGUACACGUUGGGACCCGAAAGAUGGUGAACUAUGCCUGGGCAGAACGAAGCCAGAGGAAACUCUGGUGGAGGUUCGCAGCGGUUCUGACGUGCAAAUCGAUCGUCAGACCCGGG
rnacentral:rRNA from 1 species